rnacentral:ncRNA from 15 species
CCAUCCGAGGAGCGUUGCAGCGUUCCCCAGCCAGCCAUGAGCUGGCCUGCGCGGGGCGUGAGGCUCGGAUUUCAUCCCGCAACGACGCUCGCCCACG